UUCGUGGGCUGACGCACGGGCUCUCCUCCCCCCGCGCAGCGCCCCCGAGCUCCAGAUCGGGAGGGGAGCUCCCGAUCCAGAGCCCCUCGCCGCCCCGCUGCCUUCGCGCUCGGCCUCGCCACCGGCCGCUGCGCCGCCGUCGACCAUAGCCGGACCUCCACGUCUCGCGCCCCUUCUUAUGGUGCAGCCAUGGCCACCGGCCGCUGCGCCGCCCACCACGACGAGCUGCUCAACACUCUCCUCGCCGCCGCGGGCAACGGCCGGGAGGAGGAGGAGGACGCGCGGGAGGCACGGCAGCGUCAGAAUCAACGCGUCGAAUCCGGCCUCGGCUUACGGCAACACGGACGUGGAUGCUCUGGCUGCGACCGCCGUGCUCUAUGCCCCGACCCUGCUCGCCGAGUCCGUCGGACCUGGUGAUCUCGCCGGCCAGCGACGGGAGGAGGGUGGCAAGCUGAGCCGGAGGAGAGCGAGGCGUCCACGUUACUUUAAGUGCAAAGCAGAGAAACACACACACACACACACACACACACACACACACACACACACUCAGGCACGAGCACAAGCUCUCCUCGCCUAUGGUCACGGCGCCGCCGCCGCCAUGCGUGGCCGCGAGGAGCGGAGGCCGUGAUGGCAAGGCAGCCCUUUGGAGGCGCUCCUCCCUGACCAGGCCCAACCCCCGCUCCACCAGCUCGACCUCCUAUUUCCUUCCCAAUGCCGGGCACUGCCCGCUCUCCUCUCUGAUUUCCGGCAUGGAAAACCCUCUUCUCCGACUUUCGGCCUCUCCCCAACCUCUGACCGGUGCUGCGGGACAUAUACAACAUCUGCCCUCCAUGCCAUUGCAACUUCCAGCCUCGACGUCCAUCGCCUUCUCUAGAUCCAGCGGCCAUCUGCACGGCUGCACGCCAACUGUUCGGUCAAUUGACCCAACAGACACGAGCCUAGAGAAUGGAGAGAAAGAGGAGAAGUUGUCUUCAGAACCAUACUGAACUAUUGAAGCAACAGGAAGAUGAGUGUAUCGUGCAAGAGGAGAUCCUGGCCGCCGUCCUGUGCCUCGGCGACCAGUACGACCAUGUCCUCACGUGCCUCCUGCUGGUUGAUCCGGUGCCAGCAACUGUCAUCUUCCCAAAAUUUAACUGGACAUUUGAAUGUUCUUAUUUUUUUCUUCUCAAAUGAACAUAGCUGUGAGUUUUUUUAUGGUGAAAUCAAGUUCUGACAGAAUUUACAAUAUACUUUGUAUUGUUGUUUUUUAGGUCUUACACACCUCAUGUACCCAGGGCCAUCCACACCCAUUUUGACCGUUCAUUAGAUGUUUAUCGGCUAGCAGGGGAGGCCAUGAACAAUCUUUUAAAAAACCCAGGUGCAAGUGCUGAGUUACAACACGACAUCGACGACGCAAAAGCCAGUAUGUUUGAGCUAAGGGAACGAGCUAGGGACAGUACCACCCGGCUACCCCAGCACUUAAGCUGACUGUCCAAUUCCACUUUCAUCCAUGGAGGCUGCGGUUUAAUCCUCAGGUUGGAUAAUAUGAAGUUUUUUGGCUUAUCGUUGCGCCUCACGUUUCCGACCUCGCGUGGCUGUACACUUCUCGUACUCGACUGUUCGCCGGAACUUUGUCUGACCUGAGCAAAAACAAUGGCUCGCUCCUGCCAGGUCGCAGCAAAAGUUUUGGCUGGUCCCAUAAAAAAUAGUUCCAGCAAAAAAGAUUGUUGUCCUGGUCAUAGAGCAAUGCUUGGUGCAGCUAGCUGCAGGAAGGACCAACUUGACUUGAUGGGGAUACAAUCACCAAGAAAGAUUCAUACCUGAACUUACCUUUAUGCAUUGCACGAACUACCAAGAUAUUGUAUCUCCCUAUAUGAUCCAUAACUCAUACACACAUGAGUAGCGAUGGGAUACUAUUUGGAUUGAGUGAUCUAGAAUGUAAGCUUACCUCGGUGGUUCAGAUUAUCACUAUUAGUCUUCUGGUCGUGGCAAUUUUUUAGACUUCUGGUGUAAAGCUAUGAAGGGAUUUGCUUGGAAACAAUACUGAAAGGAUACCGUAACUUCAUUUUAUCCCCUAGAUUAGUAUAAGUAUAUUAAGUCCCCGUUUAUUUAGAUGUAUAGCUUGCAUGACAGUUUUGUUUAAACCGAUUUUUGGGGCAUUUAGCAAUUCUCACAUAUGUUGUUACUCAUGCACUUGCUUUUGAAGAUAUCAUUUCCAAUGUCAAUGUUUACAAAAUUGUUAAUCUUUUUUUU